AGCCUGUUCUUGUUUAUCGGUUUGUACGGAACUUCACCCGCGGUAGAGUACGGCCUGAGAAUUUUGUUCCAGCACCGGUGUGAGGUUUGGAGUGCAUAAUGAGGAGAAAUAAAAACAGAAAGAUCUCCAGAAAGAAGCCAUGAGUUCAGGAUCAAGCUCAGAAGCGCACAGCUGCCAGCAAGCAGUCUACUACUGAACUGCACCAUCUCUCCAGCCUGUGCUUACUCUUGAAUAGCCCCAAAGUAGUCAAUGGGCUAUUUGGUACUGGACAACCAAUUGGAGUGUUGUUUGCGGGGGAGGACCACCUCUCCAGGUAGAAUCUAAACAUCAGAAAAUCAACAACCCAGUUAAAAUAAUCUAGAGCACUAACCAGAGCGUUCUCAGAAGAAGCACUACAAACGGCUAAGAAACACGAGACUGCUCAACAUCCUUUGCCAUCAGGGAAACACAGAAGCUCACUUUUCAGUUUUCAUCUUUCUGGAGUCAGAAUGGUUAUCGUCAAGAAUGCCAGUGACAUGGAUGUAGAGGACGGAUUCCUUCAUUGUCUAAGUCUCUGGAAAUAGUGCAGAAGAGUAGUCAGGGACUAAAAGAUGGAAGACAGAAAGGGCUGCAAAGUUCCAUCCUAGAGACUCAAUACAGCCAUUGCAAUGAUGAACUCACAAAAACUGCAUUUACCUGAACUUAGCCUGCUCAAGACAUUGAAAGUGUUUCAAAGUAGCUUUUCCUGUUGUGAAUGUACCUCUCAGCUAGUCUGGUUUCUGGUUCAGAGCUCUUAGGCACAGAGUUGUCUUGAACAUUUGCUUACAGGCACUUGUGUAGAUAUCAGCUGCUUUUUUUUGUUAAAUCUCUGAAAUAAAUGCCUAGGCGUUCAAUGGCAAUGUUAUAUCAGUAUGUAUUUAGCUUAGUUUUAAAAUAAGAAACUGUCAAAUACUUUUGUAGAAUUACUGGACCAUUUUACACCCCUGCCAACAAAGUAAGAUUGAUCCAGCUCCCCACAUUCUCAUAAACAUUUGUUUUUGUUUCUUUAAGAAGACAAGUUAACCAUUCCAUUUAUUGAGAAUUUACUUACCAUUCAGUGCAUUGCUUAGAUAUGUAGUAUUCAGUUUUUAGUACACAUACAAGGUUGUGUAUCGAUUACUACUAAUUCCAGAACAUUUCCAUUACCAUAGAAAAAGAAACCCAAUAUUCAUUUUCAUCUCUCCUCUAUGGACUUACCUAAUCUAGAUAUACCAAAUAAAUGGAAUUUUUAUAAAAUAUGA
rnacentral:lncRNA from 1 species